rnacentral:rRNA from 1 species
UGGGGAAUAUUGGACAAUGGGCGCAAGCCUGAUCCAGCCAUGCCGCGUGGGUGAAGAAGGCCUUCGGGUUGUAAAGCCCUUUUGUUGGGGAAGAAAUCGUGCAGGUGAAUAUCCUGCGCGGAUGACGGUACCCAAAGAAUAAGCACCGGCUAACUUCGUGCCAGCAGCCGCGGUAAUACAGAGGGUGCAAGCGUUAAUCGGAAUUACUGGGCGUAAAGGGCGCGUAGGUGGUUAAUUAAGUCAGAUGUGAAAUCCCCGAGCUUAACCUGGGAAGUGCAUUUGAAACUGAUUGGCUAGAGUGCGGGAGAGGGAAGUGGAAUUUCCGGUGUAGCGGUGAAAUGCGUAGAUAUCGGAAGGAACACCAGUGGCGAAGGCGACUUCCUGGCCCGUUACUGACACUGAGGCGCGAAAGCGUGGGGAGCGAACA